GAUGAACGCUAGCGGCAGGCUUAACACAUGCAAGUCGAGGGGUAGAGGCUUUCGGGUCUUGAGACCGGCGCACGGGUGCGUAACGCGUAUGCAAUCUGCCUUGUACUGGGGGAUAGCCCAGAGAAAUUUGGAUUAAUACCCCAUAGUAUUUUCGGUUGGCAUCAACUGAUUAUUAAAGUUUUUCGGUACAAGAUGAGCAUGCGUCCCAUUAGCUAGUUGGUAUGGUAACGGCAUACCAAGGCUACGAUAGGUAGGGGUCCUGAGAGGGAGGUCCCCCCAACUGGUACUGAGACACGGACCAGACUCCUACGGGAGGCAGCAGUGAGGACUAUUGGUCAAUGGUCGCAAGACUGAACCAGCCAUGCCGCGUGCAGGAUGAAGCAUCUAUGGUGUGUAAACUGCUUUUGUACGGGAAGAAACACUGCUACGUGUAGCAGCUUGACGGUACCGUAAGAAUAAGGAUCGGCUAACUCCGCGCCAGCCGCCGCCGUAACAC
rnacentral:rRNA from 1 species